UUCAACUUGCAUCUAUAUUUGGAUCGUAAAGUCUUGAAUUCACACUGCUGUUGUGCAGUUCCCGAGCCGCACCUUGAGUCAAAUGUUCAAACCCUAUGCCUUGUUUGUUCCUCCACGAUGCAGUACAGGCAGCUUCUAGGAACCUCCGUUUUUCUUCAACACGUCUUAUCAUUUUCAUUGCACUGGCUCAUCUCUGUCUUUUGUUUUCCCUCGGCUCUAGCAUCCCAUGGACCAGCACAUACACAUUCUGCUCGGCGCCAUGGCAGAUGGUAUGCCCAAUCGGCAACAGCCACACAGCCGUCCCCAAGGGCUGGCGCCUGACCGCUCGUCCACCGACAUGUGCGUCAUGGCUCGCUGCCCUCGUUAGCGUCCGGUCGAUCCAGCGCCGCCAGCCCACUGUUGCCUGCUCUGCUCCCGGUUGCUUGCUCGCGGCCGGCCAGGUAGCGGCCCUCGCUGCCCGCCCGCGGCUUCGCCGCUCCUCGCCCAAAGCCAGCUCGGCGCUGCCGUGGCCUGCCAACAGCCUGCCCUGUGCCCCACUCCUCGGUCGCGGUCGGCUAGGCGGUGGCUGUCGCUCCCCGCCUGCGACCAGACCGGCAUCGUUGCUCCCGGCCUGCUCCUCGCCUGCGGCCGGCCAGGCGCGGUCGUGGGAGAUGGGGAAACGAGGCUCCACGAGCGUGAGCGCCCGGGCGUAGGCGAGGAGCGCGUUCCGACGCUACUCGAGGGAGGACGCGUCCGGAAAGGAGGGCUGCUUGACCGCGAUGCGGAUGUCGCGCACCGUGCUCUGAGGUCGUCGUCGAGCACGAGCGCGAGCACCCGUGCGUAGGCGAGGAGCGCGUCCCGGCGCUGCCUGAUGGUGUCUGCCUUCGCGGCCUCCGGCCUUCCAGAAAACUUCCGCGCUCCUUCCCCCGCCCUUCAUUUUUUUCCCAUCCAUCCCUCCUGGGUCCUGGCCGAUUGUCUACCCUUUCGCUGCUCGUCUUUCGUCUUCUCCACUGACCAUUAUUUGCUUCCUUUGCGUCGCGUCUCACCUUCUCGCUCACGCGCCCAUUCUUUGCUUCCUUUUCCUGCCUUACUUGCUCUGGGUAGCUGCCUACGCUUGUGCUGCUUGUACUGGUCCUGCGUGCUGGUUUGCGGCCCUCCGGUUUUCAAGGUGCAUCAGCGUGGGCUGCCUGAUCCGUUCUUUGAAGAUCCUUGUUAGGUACAUUUUAUUUCUUCAUACUUCAUCAAAUCUUCUACGCUCUUGUAGGACUUGGCGGCCUGAUCUGCAUUACCCAAUACUUUUCUUCACCCAUCUUUGUUCAACUUUACCCAAGGUUGUGAUACUUUCCUCGGCAAUAUUUGAACUCUGCAGAGGUUCCCCAUUUGCCAGUUCUCCAGGCUUUUAUUUGCUCGCUGCAAAGAACUAGGAUCUGUGUUGGAAUAAUUUUAUUUUGUCGUUAUUGAUUAGGAUGGCAACCAUCAAGUGCCAGUUUGUUUCGUCCAUUAUUGCUGCAUAAUAGUACACCAAAAAAAAAUACAUGAGGAGCUGUAGUACAUAUGCUCACUUUUACCCCUAUCUCUACCUUCUGUCUCAUGUCUUUUUUGUGUUUCUCUUAUCUUUGUUUUUUUGUGUUUCAUCUCUAGUCUGUCCAAUUUGCUUGGGACAAAAGACUACGUUGUUGUUGUACAUUCCCCUAGAAAAAAAGGUAUUUCGUAAUUGAUGGUAAAGACCCGUAGUCUUAGCCUAUCUGCUGCCAAUCUCAGCUAUUAAUCUGUCAAGUAGUCUUCUUCUUUUGACAGCAACAAACUCAAAGUCUUUCUCCA